UACGUAGGGGGCAAGCGUUGUCCGGAAUCAUUGGGCGUAAAGAGCGCGUAGGCGGUCUGUCGCGUCGGCUGUGAAAUCCCGAGGCUCAACCUCGGGUCUGCAGUCGAUACGGGCAAACUGGAGUGUUGCAGGGGAGACUGGAAUUCCUGGUGUAGCGGUGAAAUGCGCAGAUAUCAGGAGGAACACCGGUGGCGAAGGCGGGUCUCUGGGCAACAACUGACGCUGAGGAGCGAAAGCGUGGGGAGCGAACAGG
rnacentral:rRNA from 1 species